CUUGAAGGCUGGAGUCAUGAAGGGGUCCCUCCAGAGGUGAGUUUCCAACAACAAGCUCACAUUUUCUGCAGAUCUGUUUUCUGUGUAUUUGAUCAAGAAAAGAUCUCAGUGAUGCUAAAGGGUUGAGGUCUUCUUCAAGAGAGGAGCAGAUGACAGCAUAUGUGGGGAUGAAGCAUACCAGCACUUUGGUGAGUCUCCUGGCUCAUGUGAGGACUGUGUUUUCCAGCCCUGGGUGGAACCAGCCAGGAGAGACUUGCUGAGAAUCCAUGCCUCAACAAGUGGUUCAAAAGAAGCCUGCUCAGGUAAGAAAAACCAAUUAAAAUUAUUUUGCCUACUUCAAGUGAGACAUUUUUUUUAGUAUUUCAACUGGCCUCUUUUACUGUAAAG
rnacentral:lncRNA from 1 species